AUACGGAGGGUGCAAGCGUUAAUCGGAAUUACUGGGCGUAAAGCGCGCGUAGGCGGUUUGAUAAGUCGGAUGUGAAAUCCCCGGGCUCAACCUGGGAAUUGCAUUCGAUACUGUCAGGCUAGAGUGUGGGAGAGGGAAGUGGAAUUUCCGGUGUAGCGGUGAAAUGCGUAGAUAUCGGAAGGAACACCAGUGGCGAAGGCGGCUUCCUGGACCAACACUGACGCUGAGGUGCGAAAGCGUGGGGAGCAAACAGGAUUAGAAACCCUAGUAGUCC
rnacentral:rRNA from 1 species